GUCACAUCCCAAAUCGUGGAUCCCCUUUCUAGGUCGUUGACCGGUUUUCGAGCCUAAUCCAAUGGCCAAUGUGUAACAAAACCCAGAUCGUGUGAUGAAUUAUGCAUCAUCAAUCACCGAUUUAACGCACCCGUAGUUGUUUUUGAAGAUCAGCGAAGAAAUUCAAGGGUCACUAUCAUGUUGAUCUCAAUCAAGAGGUAGCCAGCCUUCAAGAGGCUAUGAUGGGAAACCAGUGGAAGUAACUUUCAAAAUUGACACCUCUUUCUAAUGCCUACCGCUGCACCAUACUUUGAAGGUUAUGAAUGAAAAAUUCUUAUUUGUCAUGGAUUUUAGUGUAGUCUGAUCUAUUUUUAGCUGUUGCAUCAAAAAAUUAACCGAUGAUAAAAACGCUUUUAACUCUACUUAAAAGUCAGAAGCCCACGGUGGGCGCUUUUUUCGUUUUCUUUUUCCGAACAUGGUUCGUUGGAUUCAGGGUCAUACAGGAUCUAAAUGUUCAGCAGCGGUCAACAUUUUUUUGUUCUUGUGA